CACUACAAGUGAUCGUUCCUGAAGUCAGUUGGACCGUUAGAAUACUAACUUCAGGAAUGAUCACUUGUAGUAUUCUAACGGUCCAACUGACUUCAGGAUUGAUCACUU
rnacentral:pre_miRNA from 1 species